UAAAUGAACGAGAUGCAUAAGCUA
rnacentral:piRNA from 1 species